UAAUACUGGAUAGGCAAUUAUUCCGGUAAUGGUUUUUUGUUUAAAUGUUUUUUCGCCUAAGGAUGGGUCUGCGGCCGAUUAGGUAGUUGGUUAGGUAAUGGCUUACCAAGCCUUUGAUCGGUACGGGUUGUGAGAGCAAGAGCCCGGAGAUGGAACCUGAGACAAGGUUCCAGGCCCUACGGGGUGCAGCAGGCGCGAAACCUCCGCAAUGUGAGAGAUCGCGACGGGGGGAUCCCAAGUGCCAUUCUUAACGGGAUGGCUUUUCUUUAGUGUAAAAAGCUUUUGGAAUAAGAGCUGGGCAAGACCGGUGCCAGCCGCCGCGGUAACACCGGCAGCUCUAGUGGUAGCAAUUUUUAUUGGGCCUAAAGCGUCCGUAGCCGGUUUAAUAAGUCUCUGGUGAAAUCCUGUAGCUUAACUGUGGGAAUUGCUGGAGAUACUAUUAGACUUGAGACCGGGAGAGGUUAGAGGUACUCCCAGGGUAGAGGUGAAAUUCUGUAAUCCUGGGAGGACCGCCUGUUGCGAAGGCGUCUAACUGGAACGGUUCUGACGGUGAGGGACGAAAGUUAGGGGCGCGAACCGGAUUAGAUACCCGGGUAGUCCUAACUGUAAACGAUGCGGACUUGGUGUUG
rnacentral:rRNA from 1 species